CUGUUUUUUAAGUUUAUAAUAUAUAAAUUUUGUAAAUUUAUUCUUUAAUUUUAAACAUAAA
rnacentral:tRNA from 1 species